rnacentral:rRNA from 1 species
UUGGAGGGCAAGUCUGGUGCCCGCAGCCGCGGUAAUUCCAGCUCCAAUAGCGUAUAUUAAAGUUGUUGCAGUUAAAAAGCUCGUAGUUGAAUUUCGGAGUUUGUCGGUUGGUCGGGCUUCAUUGUCCGCACUGGCCUGAUGGAUUCCUACCUUCUGAAUAACCAGCAUGCUAUUAAGUUAGUGCGUUGGGGAAGCAGAGCUAUUACCUUGAAAAAAUUAGAGUGCUUAAAGCAGGCUUAUGCUUGAAUAGAUUAGCAUGGAAUAAUAAAAUAGGACGGCAUGGUUCUAUUUUGUUGGUUUCUAGGAUCACCGUAAUGAUUAAUAGGGAUAGUUGGGGGCAUUAGUAUUCAAUUGUCAGAGGUGAAAUUCUUGGAUUUAUUGAAGACUAACUUCUGCGAAAGCAUUUGCCAAGGAUGUUUUCAUUAAUCAAGAACGAAAGUUAGGGGAUCGAAGACGAUCAGAUACCGUCGUAGUCUUAACCAUAAACUAUGCCGACUAGGGAUCGGACGAUGUUAAUUUUUUAAUGACUCGUUCGGCGCCUUACGGGAAAC